GAAGAAGAAGAAUGUGGGAUUUGGACACAAGAAGGGACGGGGAUGAGCUACACGGAGUAAGGGGGAAGCUCGACAUAAUAAGGGAGGACCUGGACGUGAUAAGAGAGCAUCUGGUCAGAAAAAGGAAUGAUCUGGGCACUAAAAGGUACAAUAGAGCGGAACUGUAUGUUGCAAUGGAGGCCCUGGAUAGAAGUUCAGCGGAGCUGAACAGGAGAUGGGAGGAGCUGGACGAUUUAAGCUUAGAGGUGGGCACUAGAAGGGAUAAGUUGGAGGCGCUAGACAGAAGAAGUGAGAAGCUAGACAAAAGAAGGGAGGAGCUGGACAGAAGAAGCAAGCAGCCUCCAACUCUUGCUAGAGGGACGAUGCUGGAUGAUCUAGAGGAGCUGAACAGAAGAAGGGAGGAGCUGGACAAGAGGAGGGCUGAAGUUGACGGUAGAAGGAAUGAGAACCUGGACGUGGACCUAGAGGAGCUGAAGAGAACAAUGAAAAAACUGGAGGAGCUGGACAGAAGAGUGCAUCUCGGACCUCCACCUUCCUUGGUCCAUGGAGCGGAGCUUGCUGUUUGGCUGCUAGAGGCAGAGAAGGCGCGGGGCAAGCAGGAGGUGCGGCGGGUGCUACUUGGGGUGUGGGUGGAGAUGAUGUGCUAUGCGGCCCACCGCUGCACUAGGGAUUCCCACGCCAAGCAGCUCAACAGUGGUGGUGAGUUCAUUACCGUCGUCUGGCUUCUGUCCACUGCCAUGUUCAAUCGCCGGUACUGUGACGAGGAUUGGUUUAAGAAUGGCGUGUGGGAGUUCUUCAGGCCACCAUUCCAUGUUGAGGAGGAGCAUAAGGACGGUUGCUUUUGUGUGAUAUUCUACGUGUGUGUACUACUUCCGGUCCUUCCGUAUAUCCUAUACAAGUAUAAAGAGUGGUCGUUCCCCCAAUUUUUUAGACCAUCAAGAGGGGCCAGGCCCCCCCCCAUCGACCGGCCUCCCCCAAUAAUGUGUGAGGUUGCCGGGACUAGCACAACAGCAAUUUGAUUCUACUAAUUUGUUUUACCUUAACUAGGUAAAUUUCCCGUGCGUUGCUUAGGAUAAAUAUUAGUAUAGGUUAUGUAUAGCAGUUAUGUGGACUUGUAUGUGGGUUUUUUUUUCAUUAAUUAAGAUGAUGUGUGGCGGUUUAUUUGCCAACUGGGGGUAAAAACCAGGCCAUCUUCGACUGAGUCAUGCUCACGUAAAUUAUAGUAGAAAUUAUUCUGCACGGAUAUGGAUUCCAUCCUUGGUCACUACCGUAAUCGCCUGGCCCAAUAGCCAUCCCACCCAAGCAAGCUACUUUGUUAUCUGGUUUAAGAAAUUGGACGUAUUUGAUCUCUUUUUAUCCUCCAUUAGUGAGUAGUAAAAACGAGCUAAUGUACCAGUAGACCGGCGGUCUGACGGGUAAAAAUCUGAAUCGAGAGGCUAGCCGGUCGGUUUAAAAGCUACAGUUUGUCUAAUUCACAUCUAGAUAUUUUUUAAGGAUGUCAUCGAAGCUCCCACAAAUAUAAUGCAGCAACAAGAAACCUAAAAAAGCUAGGACAAAAAAAUAAAUAAACCACAAACAGAGUGAACAUCAAUUUAGAUGUUAUGUCACAUCUAGAUGUGUCCUAGACAGACCCGAAAAGCUAUUGGAGAAACAAGAAGAACAGCUCCGGCAAUGAUAUUCAAUGAAUUUUAUGUAGAUCUUCGUCUACAACAGAUAACCGUUGGUGCGCUGGCUAUCACCUAUCCUGCCAAUAAUUUGUCUCCGCCCUCAUUUAGGCUAAUUAAUUAUUUGGUAACACUGGCAGCCAAAAAAAAAUUUUUGGAUGGACUAGUUGGGGCUCAGACCAAACACAUACUGAAAUUUGUCAGCAUGAAUGCUCAAGUAAUGCAUGCUCAAGUAUCAUCUCAUGAAUCAGUCAUGCCACUGAUCAUACAAAGAUGAGUUGGCACUAGUGCUGCUGAUCAUACAAACUAAUUAAGAUACUAACAUCACUGCCGCUAACUGGAAACUAAUUAAGUCUACAUGAAAGGAAUUGAUUAGCGGGAGUGGUCGCCGAGGUGAUGAGUCAAGCUUUGUAGACGACGACGAAGCAAGGGAGGAUGGCGGUGGGGUUGAACACCUCCAGCUCGUCCAGGCUCGAGUAAACCCCCGCCGUCCCCGCCACCGAGUCGUACUCCUCCUCGGCUUCCGCUUCCUCCUCCGCCUCCGCCUACGGCGACGCUUCCACCUCCUCCUUGUCCGCCGUCUCCCCCGUGCAUGGCGCCGCCGCACGCUUCACCCGCCCGGCGAUGACCCGGCACACGAGCAUGGCCCUGCGCCGUUCUCCUCCGCCGCCCUCCCCCUCCUCCCCACCACGGCGUCAUCGUGCGCGCGGCCGCUGGUGGCCAUGGUGCAGACCCCGGGCGCCCUGAACUUGAACCCGUCCCGGACGAUGCCGCACGCGGCGCAGGAGGAGCUGCCUGCGCCGUCGCAGAGGCGGGUGGCGCCCCCCGCGACGAUGGAGCAUGCGAGCGCGGCGCAGUGGAAGCGGAGCAGCUCGUUGCCGUCGGCGGUGCAGCGGCCGGCGCCGGGGCGUCCACCGCGCGCCUUGGCCUUGACGGCGUCGCGGUAGGCCUCGAAGCGGGCGAGGGUGGCCGGCGCGUUGUGCACCUUGAGGAUGCGGUCCACGGCGCACACCGGGGUCUGCUUCUUGAGCCAGCUCGACUGGAAGAUUAUCUCGAUGAUGUUCCGGCUCGUGUCCUCCGGCCCCAGCUCAGACACUGUCCAAAAAUAAAAUAAAAAUCGCAUAUCAGCUCCACUAACCAAUCAGUUAUGUAAGAUAUAAUUACAAUGAAGUGUAAAAAACAUAAUUACAUUAUAUAAUCUGCUGAAAUUGUACUUUGAAAAUAAACUGUUAAGCACUGGUCAUGUCACUCAUGUGAUGUGAUGAUGACAGGAACAAUCUUCUAAUGUGUGUCUACAGUGGAUUAAUGCAUAAGAUAAGCCUAACAAUCUUCUAACUGAUCUGGUCAUGUGGCUGGUCAAAUUGUACUUGGAAGAAAAAAAAAAUUGUGCACAGGCCAUGUCAUGGUGACAGGAACAACAAAGCAGUCUUCUCAUGCGAGUAGUGGGUCUAACACUCUACAGUGGGUUAAUGCAUAAGAUAAUCCUAGCUAGAUGACUGCUGCAGGGACACUUUGCACAGUGAUUAGAGAGCAGACCACCAUCAUGAAAAGCAGCAGGAAUAAUUAAAGCACACAUCAUGCAUCAUGCAUGCCAUGGCCAGGCUCACUUUCACCAGUCUCAUCACUCCUAAAGUUUCACCUAAGCACAUCUAGAAAAUUAAAGUUUCAGCUAAGCAGGGUAGUACUAACUAGGUGCACCCAUAAACAUUGGAUUUGAUGUAUGUAACUAAUCGUUGUACCAUAGAUGCACAUUUCGUCAUACACCGUCAAGAAAAAGAGUAUGGUGUUCUCAGAAAACAUCGAUGCACAUUUUGCAUUUGGCGUGCUGCUGUAGAUUGUGUAUGGCCUGCUAUUGGAUUGCCUUGUCCGCACAUCUUACAUAACUACGUAUGGAGGAUAUGAUAUAUUUUAGAUAGACCGAUGCUACGGCCUACAGCUCAACUAUAUAAAUCUCUGAUUAGAUGUGAUUACAUUACAUAGCAAAAUGAUAGUGUGAUGUUUAAUAGCGGUGCUGUGUCGAAUUUUCAUGGGUCAUAGCAUGGACUUGUGGUGUCAAGCAUAUGGCACAAGUCCAUGGAUCACAAGCAUGUUCUUUCAGACAAAAAGGACAAAAGGAAGUUCUGCAUGUUCUCAUGAAUCCUGAAAACAUUUUUUGAAACCAUCUUGGGUGAGCAUCAGGGCUUUCACUUCAAAGAAUCUGAAAGAGAAGCCAGUCGCGUCGAUUCUCCAUGGCCGGCAUAAAUUGCCUGCUGCUGGGGCUCUUCAGGUGUAUGCAUGAGUUUUACUCUUCCUAGUUAUAUAUAUAUAUCAUGCUCUGCUUUGAACAAAGCAAAACACAGAUGUUCCGAGUCUGAUAAACUAGUGAUGUAUAUGUUUUGUAAGUAAAAUGCAGAUGGUUUCUGUUGUUCAUUGACAUGAGAUUAGCACAAAACUGAUGCCUACCCUUGUGUAUGACGACGAUAUGCAGGGAAGGAAAUGCGUUGUGAACCCUACCAUGAAUUAAGCUGAAGAACAUGGAGCUGUCAGAAACAUUGUCACUUGGCUGCAUGGAAACAGGCCCUUAAUGCUAAUCCACAGUUGUCCCCCUCUGGUCCUCCAGUUCUAUAGUGACCAAGAUAAAUGGCAUCAAAUUCUUGACAAAUGCCUGUCUUUCUGAAGAGAAAUGAUACCAUUCAUAUCAUUGCUGUUCAUCAUGUCAGAAAUCUUUGCUAGCUUGCCAUGCCUGUGGAGACAGGACAGGAGAGGCGUGCUCGCCGUCGCCGUUUUUCUGAGCUUGAGAAAGGAAGAGAUUCUUGAAGCAGCACACGAGCUAGUAUGUGGCGAGUUCGAGGCGCCCGUUUAAGCUGCACUCACAAAGUCCUUCAUGUCCCGGUGUCGUUCUCUCUCCGGUUACAGACUUACAGAUCAUGUUGUUUCAGAAAGAGAUCCGAGAAGUUUCAAGCUAUUCAUGCAUUGUCUGUCGAAACGUCGAAGACUGGAGAUCAGGCAAUUAGUUGUGGUGGCUUUGGUUAUAUGCUUACAUGACAUAUAUGUACUCCAAUUGAACUGAAGAUUUUGGCAGGACUGAAGCUUCCUGGGAGCAUCCUGGAAUGUUGGAGUAAUGCAUGCCCAAGUAUCAUCUGAUCGGAAGCCGGACGCGCGGCGGAGCGGAAACAGAUGCCGGCUGCUUCAGUUGGGGGCGAGAUCGAUGCUACUGAAGCUCUUCUAGGCCCACAUCGCCGAUUUACACCAUUUCCCACCGAUUCGUAAGCGUUUCCCUGCGUCCUUAUUCCUUUUCCCCACUCUCAUCCACACUUGCUCUGAUUGAAAAUCUUGAAAAGUCACCUCAGACAAACAUUGGCUGAUCACUAACUGGUAGGCUGUAAUACCAAGUACUAUAUGGUUAGAUACUGACUGCAAUUUGAAUUUACUUGUACGGUGUCGGUGAUGCUACACAAGAUCAUGUUGAAUGCCUGUGUUGCAAAUUCCAAGAAUUCGCUGUCACGUCAGUCUCCAUUUUCUUUGCGUUCCAUAAAAGAAAAUCUUACGGCCUGUCUUGUUGCUUCAGGUGGUACAUCACAAGUGAGGAUAUAGUUGAAGCCAAGGCCAAAGUGGCAUGUGAGGUUAGCUCAGAUGAUGAAAUAACAUUGACAGAAAUUAAUUAGACUCGAUGGCGUUUGGAAGGAUGCCACUGUGUAGUGUAGUAGAGCAGAAGGUGGCUCUGCUUUCUUGCUUUGUUUGGCAGGAAAAGCUACAAGAUGCCCCCAAAGCCCGAGGAAGGAGCUCGACCUGCUCUUUUGUCCGCUGCACAAAUCAUGAUAAGAAAUUCCUUACACGUACGGAUCCUUUGCUUUUUCAGUCUUGAACCAGUGCUUCAAACCUUACAUGCCAGCUCUCUCUAUCUCACAAUGAUGGCCUUGUUUGGUUCCAUGAAUUAGAGUUAGUUUGGGUUAGUUUGGACUCAACUAACCCAAAAAUAUCCAAAUGGGAGGGUUAGUUUGGGUUAGAUGCAUCUAACCCACCCAAAAAAAUCUAACCCACCCAAGAGGUGCUUAUUUGGGUUAGUUCUCCUUGGAACCAUUAGAAAAACACCUUUUUCUCUCACUCUCCCCGCAGCAUACCCCCUCGUCUCCCGCGGCCCGUCCGCGCGCCGGUAAGCAGUCACGGCUCCUUGCACGCGGCCCGUCCCCGUCGGCCUCGGUCAGCGCAACUCCUUGCGCAGGGACGACGGAUUCGGUCGGCGGGCUGCGCGAGAGGCCAGCUCGGCUCCUUGCCGGGCGCGUCCCUGUCUGCCUCGGCCAGGGCUCGCUCCGCCAAAUCCGGCAGAGCAUUUAUUGUCAAUCUAACCCUGCCAUCCAAACACCACUUUGAUUAGAGUUAGUUCAGGGUUGGUUUAGGUUAGAAUCUAACUCUAACCUCUAACUGAGUUAGAGUAUCCAAACAGGCCGAUAUGUGUGGAGCCCACUUGUCAGGAUUAAGCAAGCGAAUAAUUUUUUAGGCAAAUAAGAACGCUAUUGGGAUCAAGUGAGCCCACAUUUUAUACUAGUGAGAUAGAGACACUAGUAGAAAACAGGGCUUUCGUUCGGGCAUGGCAAGCCCAUUAGUCCCGGUUCAGUCACGAACCGGGACCCAUGGGGGCAUUCGUCCCGGUUCGUGAGCCCAGGGGGCCGGCCGGGGCCUCGUGGGCAUUGGUCCCGGUUCGUAUGAAACCAUUUGUCCCGGUUCGAGGCACGAUCCGGGACUAAUGGGCCUCGCUCCUGGCCCACAACCAUUGGUUCCAGUUCUUGGCAUGAACCGGGACAGAAGGCCCGGAUUUAGUACUGGUUCAUGCCACGAACCGGAACCAAUGAGGUGCCUAUAUAUACCCCUCGCCCGCGAGCAGAGCACUCCAGUGCUCUAUUUUUCUCUGGCCAGCGAGGGGAGGGCUUUGUGGUGCUCUAGCUCACCUCCUAUGCACAUGAGGUGUUCGAUGAAAUGCCCGAGCCACACUAGUUAAGCUUUCUCCUCUCGAAGCUCGACCUCAAAGCUCCAUUUUCCUCGAGAUUUGUCUAGGUUUAGCGGCCCGUCACGUCCCAUUCCCGUCUUCACCGCCGUCGACCGCCCGCGCCGGUCUCGUCGCCGACACCGCCGUGGUGAGCCUCUUGUUCUUAUCUUCUUUCUGAAAGAAAAAAAUUCUUACUUUAGAUAGAUACUUGUCUAAUUUUCUUACUAUUUUAUUGCUUGCUAUUAUAUAGUGCGAUGGUUUUGGUAUCCGCCCCCGUCUGCCCUUGUCCUGUCUAUGAUUCGGAUGUGGUAUAUAUUAUCUUUAUAACUAUUGGUUCAUUUAUUGUUUAUGAAAAUUAUGCCGACCAACGUGACAUUGAUUUUAUUUAUCUAGGAGGUAUGUGAACCGGAAAUUCCAACUGACCCUAUUGUUGAGAGGUUAAAUUUAGUUGAAGAAGAAAACAAAUUCUUGAAGGAAAAAAUAAAAAAAAUUGAGGAGGAGAAGAUGAUAUUGGAGUUGCAUGUUGUGGAUGUCGUCGAUGAUCAUAAGAUCAAGAUGGAUGCAAUGCGCUUGAAGAUUAGAAAGAUUAGAAAAUAUGCCAUUCAUACCGAGGCUUGGUAUCAUUAUGCCGUUGGAUCAAUUGUUACCUUGGUUGCGAUUAUGAUCGCAUUUGUUUUCGCAUUGAAAUGUUUUACAUAGUUUCAAUGUAUGGUUUAAUUAAUUAGAUGCUCUAGAGAGCUAUAUGUUGUUAGAUGAGAACUAUGUAUGUACUUUGGUUUUAAUGUGAUGAUGAACUUCUAUUAAUUUGGUCACUUAAUUAUCUAUUCAUGAUGUUCUGUAAUGGUUUUUGACACACUUAAUUAUAUAUAAUGCACGCAGAUGAACCGGCAAUGGAUGUACGGUGACAGACACACCUCCGAGUACAUUAAGGGCGUGCAUGAUUUUCUCGAAGUGGCUGAGGCAAACAAGCAGAAUGGUUUUAUGUGUUGUCCAUGCCCUAUAUGUGGGAAUACGAAGUCUUACUCUGACCGGAAAAUCCUUCACACCCACCUGCUUUACAAGGGUUUCAUGCCACACUAUAAUGUUUGGACGAGGCACAAAUAAAUAGGGGUUAUGAUGGAAGACGGCGAAGAAGAAGAGGACGAUGACAACUAUGUGCCCCCUGAAUACGGUGAUGCUGCAACAGGGGAAGCUGCUGAAGAUCAAGAGGAACCAGACGAUGUGCCCAAUGAUGCUGCAACGGGGGAAGCUGCUGAAGAUCAAGAGGAACCAGUGCCCGAUGAUGAUGAUCUCCGCCAGGUAAUUGUCGAUGCAAGGACGCAAUGCGAAAGUCAAAAGGAGAAGCUGAAGUUCGAUCGCAUGUUAGAGGAUCACAAAAAAAAGUUGUACCCCAAUUGCGAAGAUGGCAACACAAAGCUCGGUACCGUACUGGAAUUACUGCAGUGGAAGGCAGAGAAUGUUGUGCCUGACAAAGGAUUUGAGAAGCUAUUGAAAAUAUUGAAGAAGAAGCUUCCAAAGGAUAACGAAUUGCCCGACAGUACAUACGCAGCAAAGAAGGUCGUAUGCCCUCUAGGAUUGGAGGUGCAGAAGAUACAUGCAUGCCCUAAUGACUGCAUCCUCUACCGCGGUGCGUACAAGGAUCUGAACGCAUGCCCGGUAUGCGGUGCAUUGCGGUAUAAGAUCAGACGAGAUGACCCUGGUGAUGUUGACGGCGAGCCCCCCAGGAAGAGGGUUCCUGCGAAGGUGAUGUGGUAUGCUCCUAUAAUACCACGGUUAAAACGUCUGUUCAGAAACGAAGAGCAUGCCAAGUUGAUGCGAUGGCACAGUGAGGACCGUAAGAAAGACGGGAACUUGAGAGCACCCGCUGACGGGUCGCAGUGGAGAAAAAUCGAGAGAAAGUACUGGGCUGAGUUUGCAGCUGACCCAAGGAACGUAUGGUUUGGUUUAAGCGCGGAUGGCAUUAAUCCUUUCGGGGAGCAGAGUAGCAAUCACAGCACCUGGCCCGUGACUCUAUGUAUGUAUAACCUUCCUCCUUGGAUGUGCAUGAAGCGGAAGUUCAUUAUGAUGCCAGUUCUCAUCCAAGGCCCUAAGCAACCCGGCAACGACAUUGAUGUGUACCUAAGGCCAUUAGUUGAAGAACUUUUACAGCUGUGGAAUGGAAACAGUGUACGUACGUGGGAUGAGCACAAACAGGAGGAAUUUAACCUGCACGCGUUGCUGUUUGUAACCAUCAACGAUUGGCCCGCUCUCAGUAACCUUUCAGGAUAGACAAACAAGGGAUACCACGCAUGCACGCACUAUUUAGAUGACACUGAAAGUAUAUACCUGGACAAAUGCAGGAAGAAUGUGUACCUGGGCCAUCGUCGAUUUCUUCCGACCAACCAUCAAUGUCGAAAGAAAGGCAAGCAUUUCAAAGGCGAGGCAGAUCACCGGAAGAAGCCCGCCAUGCGUACCGGUGAUCACGUACUUGCUAUGGUCAAUGAUUUACACGUAAUCUUUGGAAAGGGUCCCGGCGGACUAGCUGUUGCGAAUGACACUGAGGGACACGCACCCAUGUGGAAGAAGAAAUCUAUAUUUUGGGACCUACCCUACUGGAAAGACCUAGAGGUCCGCUCUUCAAUCGACAUGAUGCACGUGACGAAGAACCUUUGCGUGAACCUGCUAGGCUUCUUGGGCGUGUAUGGGAAGACAAUAGAUACACCUGAGGCACAGGAGGACCUGCAACGUUUGCACGAAAAAAAGGGCAUGCCUCCGAAGCAGUAUGAAGGUCCUGCCAGCUACGCUCUUACGAAAGAAGAGAAAGAAAUCUUCUUUGAAUGCCUGCUCAGUACGAAGGUCCCGACUGGCUUCUCGUAAUAUAAAGGGAAUAAGAAAUAUGCCAGAGAAAAAGUUUCAGAACCUAAAGUCUCAUGACUGCCACGUGAUUAUGACGCAACUGCUUCCAGUUGCAUUGAGGGGGCUUCUACCAGAAAACGUCCGAUUAGCCAUUGUGAAGCUAUGUGCAUUCCUCAAUGCAAUCUCUCAGAAGGUGAUCGAUCCAGAAAUCAUACCAAGGCUAAGGAGUGAUGUGACGCAAUGUCUUGUCAGUUUCGAGCUGGUGUUCCCACCAUCCUUCUUCAAUAUCAUGACGCACGUCCUAGUUCAUCUAGUCGACGAGAUUGUCAUUCUGGGGCCCGUAUUUCUACACAAUAUGUUCCCCUUUGAGAGGUUCAUGGGAGUCCUAAAGAAAUAUGUCCGUAACCGCGCUAGGCCAGAAGGAAGCAUCUCCAUGGGCCAUCAAACAGAGGAUGUCAUUGGGUUUUGUGUUGACUUCAUUCCUGGCCUUAAGAAGAUAGGUCUCCCUAAAUCACGGUAUGAGGGGAGACUGACUGGAAAAGGCACGCUAGGAGCGGCCUCAAUAAUAUGCAGGGACGGGCAUUCUUGGUCUCAAGCACACUACACAGUUCUACAGAACUCUACCUUGGUGACCCCGUAUGUCGAUGAACACAAGAACAGUCUGCACUCCAAACACCCGGAGCAGUGUGACGACAUGAUUACAUGUGAACACAUCAGGACUUUCAGCAGUUGGUUGGAAACACGUCUCAGAGGUGGCACCACUGUUUGUGAUGAGUUGUACUCGUUGUCCAGGGGACCAUCUUCGACUGUAUUGACUUAGAAAUGAUACAAGAUAAAUGGGAAUACAUUUUACACGAUCGCCCAAGAUCAAAAGAGCACCAACCAAAACAGCGGUGUCCGCUUUGAUGCAGCAACCGAGAGGGGAAAGGACACAUAUUAUGGUUACAUAAUGGACAUAUGGGAACUUGACUACGGACAUGAUUUUAAGGUCCCUUUGUUUAAGUGCAAAUGGGUCAAUCUGUCAGGAGGCGGGGUACAGGUAGACCCACAGUACGGAAUGACAACAGUGGAUCUGAACAAUCUUGGGUACACUGACGAACCGUUCGUCCUAGCCAAUGAUGUGCCACAGGUUAUCUAUGUGAAGGACAUGUCUACCAGACCGAGAAAAAAAAGGUAAGGAAGCGAAUACAUCAUACGAUGAGCCAAAGCGCCACAUAGUUUUUUCAGGAAAAAGGGACAUUGUGGGAGUGGAGGGCAAGACAGACAUGUCUGAAGAUUAUGAAAAGUUUCAUGAAAUUCCUCCCUUCAAAGUCAAGGCUGACCCAAGCAUCCUGAUAAACGAUGAAGAUUAUCCAUGGUUACGGCGCAAUAAGCAAAUGACACAAGCGAAGAAAAAGUGAAGACUUUCUCCCGCAACUAUUAUGAUGAUACCAUGCCAACUUUGUAACAGACGAGUAUGAUACCAUUGUCCGUUUUGUACACGAAGUGCAUCUAGUUUUUGCCGUAACCCUCUCAACUUUCUUGCACAUGUUAUGUGGAUGAAAUGAUGAUACCAUGCCAACUUUCAACAUUUUCAGAAUUUAUUUGAAAUGCUUUACAAUUUUAGGGUCUUAUAGCUCAAAAUAAUUAGCAAAUGCAUGAAAAAUAACAAAUGAAGUCAGAAAGGGUUGAAAAUUGAUGAUGUGGCUUUGAAUGGUGCAUUUUGAACACACAAAAAGUCAGGAGUUCAAAUAAGUUUUAAAAAAUGAAAUCCCUUUGUAACAGACGAGUUUCCGUAUGAAAUCCUGAUACUUCGAAAGAGAUUGUCCGUUUUGUACACGAAGUGCAUCCAGUUUUUGUCGUAACCCUCUCAACUUUCUUGCACAUGCUAUGUGGAUGAAAUGAUGAUACCAUGCCAACUUUCAACCUUUUCAGAGUUCAUUUGAAAUGCUUUUCAAUUUUAGGGUCUUAUAGCUCAAAAUAAUCAGUAAAUGCAUGAAAAAUAACAAAUAAAAUAAAUAAGUAAUUAGAAACAAAAUAAUAUAAACUUUAAUAAAAUAUAUAAGUCGAAAUAAAAUAAAAUAAACUUUAAUAACAUAAAUAAAAUUUAUGAAACUAAAAUUAUCAAAGUAUUUUCUGUUCAAAACAUUAUAAGCAACCUCUAGUAUUAUUGAAACUAAAAUUAUAUAAAGUUGAUGCAACUAAAAUUAUCGAAGUAUUUUCUGUUCAAAAUCAUUGAAAGCAAAAAUAAUUUUCAUAANNNNNNNNNNUGAAACUAAAAUUAUAUAAAAUUGAUGCAACUAAAAUUAUCGAAGUAUUUUCUGUUCAAAAUCAUUGAAAGCAAAAAUAAUUUUCAUAAAGAACUUUUUUUGUUAGAAACUUUAAUAGCAAAAAGAAUUAUCAUAAAGUAAAAUAAAUAAGUAAUUAGAAACAAAAUAAAAUAAAAUAAAUAAGUUUUUUGUUGUAAGUAGAAACAAAACAAAAUAAAUAAAGCUAAAAAGAAAACAAAAAAACAGGCAAAAAAUAAAAAUUACGCCACCUACUGGGCCACCACGGCCUGAAUACGACUAGAAACCCAUCCAUGGGCCAGGAUUCAGGCCCGCAGAAGGCCCAGUAGGCCCACCGGCAUGUACAGAGAGGUUAGGCCCGUAAGCCUGCUUUAGAGAGGAGCUCGACAGCUCAGGCGCACCGCACCUUAUAAACAGGUGCGGCUCUCUCUCAGCUAGCGAGGUGGGACUAAACUCCCACCACCACGCCGCUGUGCAAGGCCAUUGGUCCUGGUUGGUGGCACGAACCGGGACCAAUGCCACGCUUUGGUCCUGGUUCGUGGCACCAACCGGGACCAAUGCCCCCCCUUUAGUCCCGGUUGGUGCCACCAACCGGGACCAAAGGCCGCCGCUUCCCGCCCUUUGGGCUGCUGAAAAGAGGCCUUUGAUCCCGGUUAGUGNNNNNNNNNNCGUGCCUCCCUGAGCCCACCCCUCCUCGUCCCUGUCGCCGCCUGCCGUCCCGAGACCACCGUCCCCGUCACCGCGUGCCGCCCCGAGCCCGCCGUCCUCGUCGCCGGACUCCUGCCAUCGCCGCCCCCCUCGAAGUGAGCCCCCCAUUACCCAUGGUCCCGAUCGAGCGCCGCUCUUGCCCCCGAGUGCCCCUUGCUCUCUGCCCCUGCUCCAUGGUCGCCGCCGGCCCCGACGCAUUGAAGAGCAGAAGGAGAGGAGAAGGAGUGGAGCAGCAGUAAGACGCCGUCCAAUUUUCUGAAAUUUCUGAAUUUUUUUACAUAUAUGAACAGUGCAUAUAGAGGGUGUUUGAUCAAAUGCUAGAUGGCUUUGGGCAUUUUUAGAAUUUAUGAUAUUUUUUGUGGUGAGGUACUGAUGCAAGACAAAGGUGAUGGCAAAAUUUCAGAAUUUUUGAAUUGGUUUAGAAUAAGUUUUCAGCACGGAAUUUGAAUCUGGUUCAAAUUUCAUUUGAAUGAAAUUUGAAAAUUUUGAACUAUGGAUCAGAAGGUUUUUGGUGAAAUGGAGUGUGGGUACUGUCAUGAAGUUGGAGUAAUUUUUGUGGUUGUAAAAGAUUUAGGAAAAUUUAGAAUGUGCUAAAUAUGUCAAAAAAUGUUUUUUUGUUCAUAUACAGAAAGUUUUUAUAUAUGACUAUGGAUAUAUGAGCAAUGAUGAUCCAUGGAUGUAUGCAUUGAUAUAUAUGAGAAACGAUGUUCAUAGAAUAUUUACCAAGUAUAUAUAUGUAUUUUUGUUCAUAGCAUUUUUUUCCAUUUAUAUAUGUAUGUGGCUAUAGAUGGAUAUAUAUGAGAAAUGAUGAUCCAUGGAAAAGUUUUAUAUAUGCAAAAGUUACAUUUUUAGAGAAGUUUUAUAUAUCUAGCUAGGAAAGGAAGAAGAAGAAAAAGAAGGAGAGGAAAAACGAAAAUAAGAAGAGGAAGAAAGGAGAAGAAGAGGAGAGGAAGAAGAGGAGAAAUAAAAAAGAAGAGGAAAAAAGAAGAAAAAGAAGAGGAGAAGAAGAAAGGAAUAGAGGAG
rnacentral:lncRNA from 1 species